GCUGGGAAUCUUGCGCAAUGGGCGAAAGCCUGACGCAGUGACACCGCGUGGGGGAAGAAGGCUUUCGAGUUGUAAACCCCUUUUCUCGGGGAAGAGGAAGGACGGUACUCGAGGAAUAAGCCUCGGCUAACUACGUGCCAGCAGCCGCGGUAAUACGUAGGAGGCGAGCGUUGUCCGAAUUUACUGGGCGUAAAGGGCGAGUAGGCGGCCAAUUAAGUCUCAUGUGAAAUCUCCCGGCUCAACUGGGAGGGGUCAUGGGAAACUGGUUGGCUUGAGGUCAGCAGAGGAAAGCGGAAUUCCCGGAGUAGCGGUGAAAUGCGUAGAUACCGGGAGGAACACCAGAGGCGAAGGCGGCUUUCUGGGCUGCACCUGACGCUGAGGCGCGAAAGCAUGGGGAGCGAACCGG
rnacentral:rRNA from 1 species